AUAAGCGCACACGGUGGAUGCCUAGGCGGUCAGAGGCGAUGAAGGACGUGGUAGCCUGCGAAAAGUGUCGGGGAGCUGGCAACAAGCUUUGAUCCGGCAAUAUCCGAAUGGGGAAACCCACUGCUUCGGCAGUAUCCUGCAGUGAAUUCAUAGCUGCUGGAAGCGAACCCGGUGAACUGAAAUAUCUAAGUAACCGGAGGAAAAGAAAUCAACCGAGAUUCCCUAAGUAGUGACGAGCGAACGGGGAACAGCCCUUAAGCUGGAAUGGCUUUAGAAAAACAAUCUGGAAAGAUUGGCCAUAGAAGGUGAUAGCCCUGUAUUUAAAAGGGCCACUCCAGUGAAGACGAGUAGGGCGGGGCACGUGAAACCCUGUCUGAAUAUGGGGGGACCAUCCUCCAAGGCUAAAUACUCCUGACCGACCGAUAGUGAACCAGUACCGUGAGGGAAAGGCGAAAAGAACCCCGGAGAGGGGAGUGAAAUAGAUCCUGAAACCGUGUGCGUACAAGCAGUAGGAGCUCGCAAGAGUGACUGCGUACCUUUUGUAUAAUGGGUCAGCGACUUACUGUUCGUGGCAAGCUUAACCGUAUAGGGGAGGCGAAGGGAAACCGAGUCUGAUAAGGGCGCAUAGUCGCGGGCAGUAGACCCGAAACCGGGUGAUCUAGUCAUGGCCAGGGUGAAGGUGCCGUAACAGGUACUGGAGGCCCGAACCCACGUCUGUUGCAAAAGACGGGGAUGAGCUGUGAUUAGGAGUGAAAAGCUAAUCGAACCCGGAGAUAGCUGGUUCUCCUCGAAAGCUAUUUAGGUAGCGCCUCGGACGAAUACUAUUGGGGGUAGAGCACUGUUAUGGCUAGGGGGUCAUCGCGACUUACCAAACCAUUGCAAACUCCGAAUACCAGUACGUACUAUCCGGGAGACACACGGCGGGUGCUAACGUCCGUCGUGAAAAGGGAAACAACCCAGACCCACAGCUAAGGUCCCAAAUUCACUGCUAAGUGGAAAACGAUGUGGAAAGGCACAGACAGCCAGGAGGUUGGCUUAGAAGCAGCCACCCUUUAAAGAAAGCGUAAUAGCUCACUGGUCGAGUCGGUCUGCGCGGAAGAUUUAACGGGGCUAAGCAGUGAACCGAAGCUUGGGGUGCAUAAAACUUGUUUUAUGCGCGGUAGAGGAGCGUUCCGUAAGCCUGCGAAGGUGGAUUGAGAAGUCUGCUGGAGGUAUCGGAAGUGCGAAUGCUGACAUGAGUAACGAUAAUGCGGGUGAAAAGCCCGCACGCCGAAAGCCCAAGGUUUCCUUGCGCAACGUUAAUCGACGCAGGGUUAGUCGGUCCCUAAGGCGAGGGCGAAAGCCGUAGUCGAUGGGAAGCAGGUUAAUAUUCCUGCACCUCGCGUGAGUGCGAUGGAGGGACGGAGAAGGUUAGGUGUACCGGGCGUUGGUUGUCCCGGGGAAAGGCGGUAGGUUUGAAUCUUUGGCAAAUCCGGGAUUCUUUAAGACCGAGCACCGAGACGAGCCUUUAUGGCGAAGUCACUGAUACCACGCUUCCAGGAAAAGCUCCUAAGCUUCAGCUCACGAAGACCGUACCGUAAACCGACACAGGUGGGUAGGAUGAGAAUUCUCAGGCGCUUGAGAGAACUCGGGUGAAGGAACUAGGCAACAUGGCACCGUAACUUCGGGAGAAGGUGCACCCUUUUUGGUGGCUCAUGCGAGCUAUAGCUGAAGAGGGUCGCAGAAACCAGGCCGCUGCGACUGUUUAUCAAAAACACAGCACUCUGCAAACACGAAAGUGGACGUAUAGGGUGUGACGCCUGCCCGGUGCUGGAAGGUUAAUUGAUGGGGUCAGCCGCAAGGCGAAGCUCUUGAUCGAAGCCCCAGUAAACGGCGGCCGUAACUAUAACGGUCCUAAGGUAGCGAAAUUCCUUGUCGGGUAAGUUCCGACCUGCACGAAUGGCGUAACGACAGCGGCGCUGUCUCCACCCGAGACUCAGUGAAAUUGAAAUCGCUGUGAAGAUGCAGCGUUCCCGUGGCAAGACGGAAAGACCCCGUGAACCUUUACUAUAGCUUUACACUGAACGUUGAGUUCGUCUGUGUAGGAUAGGUGGGAGGCUAUGAAACUGUGGCGCUAGCUGCAGUGGAGCCAUCCUUGAAAUACCACCCUGUCGUGCUUGACGUUCUAACCUAGAUCCGUUAUCCGGAUCAGGGACCGUGUAUGGUGGGUAGUUUGACUGGGGCGGUCUCCUCCUAAAGAGUAACGGAGGAGCACGAAGGUACGCUCAGCGCGGUCGGACAUCGCGCACUGUGUGCAAAGGCAUAAGCGUGCUUGACUGCAAGAUCGACGGAUCAAGCAGGUACGAAAGUAGGUCUUAGUGAUCCGGUGGUUCUGUAUGGAAGGGCCAUCGCUCAACGGAUAAAAGGUACUCCGGGGAUAACAGGCUGAUACCGCCCAAGAGUUCAUAUCGACGGCGGUGUUUGGCACCUCGAUGUCGGCUCAUCACAUCCUGGGGCUGUAGUCGGUCCCAAGGGUAUGGCUGUUCGCCAUUUAAAGUGGUACGCGAGCUGGGUUCAGAACGUCGUGAGACAGUUCGGUCCCUAUCUGCCAUGGGCGUUGGAAGUUUGAGAGGGGCUGCUCCUAGUACGAGAGGACCGGAGUGGACGAACCUCUGGUGUUCCGGUUGUCACGCCAGUGGCAUUGCCGGGUAGCUAUGUUCGGAAGCGAUAACCGCUGAAAGCAUCUAAGCGGGAAGCGCGCCUCAAGAUGAGACUUCCCGGGGCACAAGCCCCCUAAAGGAACCAUAUAGACUAUGUGGUUGAUAGGUCAGGUGUGUAAGUACAGCAAUGUAUUGAGCUAACUGAUACUAAUGAUCCGUGCGGCUUGACC
rnacentral:rRNA from 1 species